GAUGAACGCUGGCGGCGUGCUUAACACAUGCAAGUCGAACGAUGAAGCCCAGCUUGCUGGGUGGAUUAGUGGCGAACGGGUGAGUAACACGUGAGUAACCUGCCCUUAACUCUGGGAUAAGCCUGGGAAACUGGGUCUAAUACCGGAUAGGAGCGUCCACCGCAUGGUGGGUGUUGGAAAGAUUUAUCGGUUUUGGAUGGACUCGCGGCCUAUCAGCUUGUUGGUGAGGUAAUGGCUCACCAAGGCGACGACGGGUAGCCGGCCUGAGAGGGUGACCGGCCACACUGGGACUGAGACACGGCCCAGACUCCUACGGGAGGCAGCAGUGGGGAAUAUUGCACAAUGGGCGCAAGCCUGAUGCAGCGACGCCGCGUGAGGGAUGACGGCCUUCGGGUUGUAAACCUCUUUCAGUAGGGAGGAAGCGAAAGUGACGGUACCUGCAGAAGAAGCACCGGCUAACUACG
rnacentral:rRNA from 1 species